rnacentral:rRNA from 1 species
UCCUCCCUCUGGCGGCGUGCUUAACACAUGCAAGUCGAACGGUGAAGCGCCUUCCUUUUUGGUGGGUGUGGAUGAGUGGCGAACGGGUGAGGAACACGUGAGUAACCUGCCCCCUUCUUCUGGAUAACCGCAUGAAAGUGUGGCUAAUACGGGAUAUUCUGGGUCUGUCGCAUGAUGGGUCUGGGAAAGAUAUUGUUUCGGUGGGGGAUGGGCUCGCGGCCUAUCAGCUUGUUGGUGGGGUGAUGGCCUACCAAGGCGGUGACGGGUAGCCGGCCUGAGAGGGUGGACGGUCACACUGGGACUGAGACACGGCCCAGACUCCUACGGGAGGCAGCAGUGGGGAAUAUUGCACAAUGGGCGCAAGCCUGAUGCAGCGACGCCGCGUGAGGGAUGGAGGCCUUCGGGUUGUGAACCUCUUUCGCCAGUGAAGCAGGCCUGCCUCGUUUGUGGGUGGGUUGACGGUAGCUGGAUAAGAAGCGCCGGCUAACUACGUG